GGGUACUUGGUCGAGUCUGGUUUAUGGCACUCGUCUUGAAAACGAGCACUCCCUUAAAGAGUCGUCGGUUCAAAUCCGACAGUGCCCG
rfam:Rhizopogon vesiculosus strain AM-OR11-056 contig35, whole genome shotgun sequence.